CUAAAGGUAAGGAAUUAAUUAACAUACAUUAACUCUUUUAGUACUCUUGAUAUAUCUACAGUAAUUAACAUAUGCAUUCACAACUUUCUGUAGUGUAUAUUUUGUACACUAAUUUUGUUACUUUUUCCUUCCAGAACCAACAUUUUUCACACAACUCCAGGUUGUUACUACAAGUGUCAUCAAGGGAUAACUACUACAAGUAGAAGCACCAUUUUUGGAUGGAAAAAACCCUUCAGGAAAGUAUACGUAUCACAUGUAACAUGUAGUGUAACAAAGUAUGAACAGUAAGGUUUUUACAUACAGUAGUACAUAUUACAUACGUACAUAACUUUUUUUUACAGGAAUUUCCAACCAAGUUUGAUUAUGUACAUAUGUACAUGUUAUAAACCACUGUACGUAUGGUUACUGUAUGUAACUUACUAAACAUACAUAACAUGACUUAACUUUGAUACUUUUUUGGUACAUUCCAGAAAACCAGGACCCCCUCCAUGAUGCAGGCUAUGGGGCCACAUAAAACUUUGUCCAGGGUUACUACAUAACAUAAAGAACCCCCUGAAUGAUGUAGGCUAUGGGGCCACAUAAGACUUUGUCCAUCCAGGGUUACGUUGAAUGCCUAAUUUAAACUAAAGAACCCCCUGAAUGAUGUAGGCUAUGGGGCCACAUAAGACUUUGUUCAUCCAGGGUUACGAUGAAUGCCAAAUUUAAACUAAAGGUAAGGAAUUAAUUAACAUACAUUAACUAAGUUUUAUACAUGUUAUAUAUGUGAUAUUAAACCACUGUAUGGUGCAUAUUACUGUAUGUAACUUACUAUGCAUAGAGUACUUACUGACAUACUAAUUAUUUUUUGUACAUUCCAGAACCCCCUGAAUGAUGUAGGCUAUGGGGCCACAUAAGACUUUGUCCAUCCAGGGUUACGAUGAAUGCCAAAUUUAAACUAAAGAGCUACCAGACUGGGAUUUUAGUGUACUCCAGGAUCUAACAAAUACAUACGUACUACUACGAAGUGUGCAGUGCAUAAUAUAUAGUGUUUAGUGUAUAAUCUAACCUAAGGAUUAAGUGUAGUACAUUGUGCUUUUUAGUGUCACAAGAGUUUAAUAAAGAAUUAUACCUUCAAGAACCAUCCUUUGCCAUUGGAAUAACCACACUACACAUCAUGCAAUCUACUUGCAUGUCACACAGGUAAGGUCUCUAACUUUUUCUUAGUUUAAGGCAUAUUUCCAAGUGUCGUUCCGGCUUACGACGAUUUUCGGCUUACGACGCGCCUCAAGAACGGAACCCCCGUCGUAACCCGGGGACUGCCUGUAUAAAAUUUUAUGU